rnacentral:rRNA from 1 species
UACGAAGGGGGCUAGCGUUGCUCGGAAUCACUGGGCGUAAAGGGUGCGUAGGCGGGUCUUUAAGUCAGGGGUGAAAUCCUGGAGCUCAACUCCAGAACUGCCUUUGAUACUGAAGAUCUUGAGUCCGGGAGAGGUGAGUGGAACUGCGAGUGUAGAGGUGAAAUUCGUAGAUAUUCGCAAGAACACCAGUGGCGAAGGCGGCUCACUGGCCCGGAACUGACGCUGAGGUGCGAAAGCGUGGGGAGCAAACAGG